CGGAUCGGAAGGUCUUACACAAGAGUCUAUCCAGAAACAUCCAGGUUUAAAAGCAUUUAAAUGGUAACAAACUUGUGUUUCAAGCAAAGAUGGCGGUUUGGAAGACGUUGCCAAACAAGAGGUAACUUUGUCGAAGGAGUUUAAAACUUUGAAACAGAAACUGGACCUUUAAAAGCCAGAGAAGCUAAAGAAAACUGUCCAUGGAGUCUUGAGAUCAAGAGGUGCAAAGAUGUGAC